GAAGCUGGAAUUGCUGUAAUGGCAGGUCAGCAUACUGCCGUGAAUACGUUCCCGGGCCUUGUACACACCGCCCGUCACACCAUGAGAGUUGGAAAUACCCGAAGCCUGUGAGCUGACUUAAAGAGGCAGCAGUCGAAGGUAGAGCCAAUGAUUGGGGUGAAGUCGUAACAAGGUAUC
rnacentral:rRNA from 1 species